rnacentral:rRNA from 1 species
GAUGAACGCUGGCGGCGUGCCUAAUACAUGCAAGUCGAGCGAACGGACGAGAAGCUUGCUUCUCUGAUGUUAGCGGCGGACGGGUGAGUAACACGUGGAUAACCUACCUAUAAGACUGGGAUCACUUCGGGAAACCGGAGCUAAUACCGGAUAAUAUUUUGCACCGCAUGGUUCAAAAGUGAAAGACGGUCUUGCUGUCACUUCUCGCUGGAUCCGCGCUGCAUUAGCUAGUUGGUAAGGUAACGGCUUACCAAGGCAACGAUGCGUAGCCGACCGGAGAGGGGGAUAGGCGACACGGGAAGUGAGACAGGGUCCAGAGGCCUACGGGAGGCAGCAGUAGGGAAUCGUCCGCAAUGGGCGAAAGCCUGACGGAGCAACGGCGCGUGAGUGAUGAAGGUCUUCGGAUCGUAAAACUCUGUUAUUAGGGAAGAACAUAUGUGUAAGUAACUGUGCACAUCGUGACGGUACCUAAUCAGAAAGCCACGGCUAACUACGUG